rnacentral:lncRNA from 1 species
UGAACUUCCAAUCCUCCUACCUCAGCCUCUCAAGCCACUGGGAUUACAGGUGUGUGCCACCGCACCCAGCACUUCAAAUCAUCUUAAUGAUAAGCUACAAGGCUUUGUGGGCAAAGAUAAGGUAAUAUAUUUUGGAGAGAAAAAAACUCAACUAUGUUUGUAACCUUAUGUUAUAUUAACUAUUUACAACUAUAUGACCUCUGAAGCAUCAGUUAAAAGCCAGGAAUAAAGUCUAAGUGGCUUUGGAGUGUGCUUUCUGAAGACAAGAAACUUAUGUGCUUCUCUGAGAAAGGGCUAAAAAAAAUGGUGAAAAUUACUAGGAAGAACCAUAAGUGUAUGUUUUCUUUUCCCUAUAGGAAAUCCUGAUGUGCCCUACUUUGUGUUCCUAAGACCAAGGAACAGAAAGCCAAACCAACAUGAUAGGAUAUUUCAGGCUGGGCAGAGCAAGCUGAGAGAGGUGAUAGUAUUAUGAUAAGAGCCUAUAAGACAGUUGGGAUAAUAAAAAUAAGAACACGUUUGUUCCCUGAAGUGCUAACCCAGACUAUCCCACCCAUGAGAACUGUGGGCGCAUUUUAUGAUUCAUAAAGGGUAAUUUUAAAUCAUAAUCCCAAGAGGUGAGUAUUGUAGGGUAUCAUGCAAAGGAGAUAGGAAAUUAUAAGAAUACUCCCUCAUUUUUUUGAGAAUGUGAGGGAAGGAGUGUUUUUCCCUUGGACUGUCUCAGGUUUGUAGUCCACUGGAGUAUUCAGGGCAUUAUCAGCAGAAGACUGUCCCACUUACCACAUGGCUUUGAUAAAGUCAAUAUAUUUUAAGAUCUGGUUCUCAGCCUCACAGGUGGGACCAUAAACCCAAUGUGGUCUUUAUCCUGAUAGCAGAUCUCUCAGGGGUCAGAUACAUAGGAGUUUGAUGGAUAAGCAGAGUGAUGCCUAACUGACAAAUGAACUAGUGUCCUUAUGCUGGUAAAAGGCAUAUCAUUUCCCUACAGGAGAGAGUGGAAAGCCAAAUUACUAGAAAGUAUUUAUCAAAAUAAGCAUAUAACCAUCUCAAUAUAAUUAACUGUCUGGAUGUGGGAGUCAUAUUUCUUGGAUUCAGGUCUUCUCUUGGCUUCUUAGUAGUUGUGUGAUCUCAGGUAAAUUUGUGACAACUCAUCUACAAAUUGCUUCUCUAUAAGAUGAAUGAUAAUUAUAGUUGAAAUAAUAGUAAGGAAUAAAUGAGCAAAUACAAGUAAAUCUUCUGGCAUAGUUCUUGGUACCGGUAAUCAUAUGAUGAAUGUAAACUAUUGUUAUUCCUUAAUUUUGUCAUUUUAUACUUCCUCACUCCCAGGUCCACCUUCUAAUAAAUUUGAUCUUUCUAGAUUCAUUAUUAGACUCAGUUAAGUUUCUUGUUAGGUUUUCCCUUGGUCUUGGAGCCAGAAAGAGGCAUACUUUGUGCUGAUCCUCGUAAAAAUUCUAUUUCCAAGAUCUUCCUUGGCUCCUUUUAUGUCCCAUGUAGCUUGUAGUAAUUGUGAUAAUUUAGGUGUUUUGUUGUUGUUAUUGUUUUGUUUUUAAUUCUUUAAGUCAACAGAUGAAGGGGAAAUGUGUUGAUUUUCUAAUAAAAAUAAGCAAGAAUCUUCACUUUUGUAUAUAGCCUAAAGGCCUAUCCUUCUGUUGUCUUUGUACUUAUUGAGAAUGGGUGAGACGUGGUCCAGUUCAGCAAACAUUUAUUUUCUUUUUGUGGUAUUGGAGAUUGAACACAGGGCCUCAUGCCUGCUAGACAAGAGCACUAUUUCUAAGCUACAUUCCCAGCCUCAGUUCAACAAAUAUUUAUUGAGUACCUACUAUGUGUAUAGCCCCAUUUUAGUAUUGGAGAUUCAAAGAUAAUUCUGAUUUUUUAAAAAAUUAAUUCAGGGCUGGGAUUGUGGCUCAGUGGUAGCGCACUUGCCUGGCAUGUGUGAGGCACUGGGUUCAAUUCUCAGCACCCCAUAUAAAUAAAUAAAUAAAGGUCUAUCAAUAAUUUUUUUAAAAAAUUUUAAAAACAUUUUAAAAAUUAAUUCAAUCAUUUUUAAAACAGGAAAAAAUGAACUCAGAAAAAGGAGUAAACCAUUUUCUAGUAGUAUCUCAUUUCAGCUGGAUCUAAAAGAUUACAAAGGUAUUAAUAGGUGAGACAAGGUGUUUAAUGUGAAAAGUUAUGAUCAAGGGCAUAAAAGUACAUAAGAGUGUUAUGAGGACAGCAAGUCCUCCCAUACCAUGGGCUAGAGGUAAUAGGAAUGCUAAACCUCAUAAAAUGUUCGGAAAGCUUUCCCUGUCUACCAACUUUAAUUGCUCAGACCAACCUUUCUCUUACCAUUUUAACGAUUUCCACAUCAUCUCCAGAUUAUGGGAUUUUUUUUUUCCUUAUUGAUGUCUGCUUUGUUCAGACCCGUAAAAUCCGUAUUUUUUUUCUUUUUUAGUUAUAGAUGGACACUAUAUGUUUAUUAUUUAUUUAUUUAUUUUUAGGUGGUGCUGAG